GGAGAGGAGUCAGGGUGUGUGAAUCACGUCAGCCCUUCAGACGAGGUGAAACGGAAAUAACAUAUUUGCAAGACAAUAACCACAACCACAUCUAUGACUAGAAAAUCCUAGAAAAUUCUGUGCUACGUAAUAUAAAACCUCUCAGGGUACAAUCCACCAACCUGGAAGUACUAUUGACUGAAUUAUGCUCAUAACUGAGGAUGAUGACCUACAGGCAAACUCUGCUAGUGACCAGGUUGUUCUUGCAGAGCUCCUGACUGCUGGGAAAAGAGCUGGAAGUUCUGAAAUAUCAAAGCAAAAUCUGUUCCUGCAAGAUUUCCAUCAGAGAGAGGAUUAACAGUCAACAAAUGAACAUCAGUGCAGUAUCUUUUGAAGUUUCUCCAUCUCUAUUGGUGAUGCUAUAGUGACUCUGUUGUUCCUGGUCUUCUCUUUCUAAAGUCUAUUUGCUUUUUUUUUUUUUUUUUUUUCUUUUGGGACAUUUAAUGUAAGUUACUGUAUUUGAAUUUCUGACUCAUCCUCUGUUGUCUGGUUCUGCGUACUGAAAAGUAUCAUUAUAUUCAAAGAGAACUGGUAACUGAAAUUAUAUAGGCUGUCAAUGUUCUCAUUCAGACUUCUCUUCAGCAUUAGAAUUCUGUGUGGUGUUGCAUGCUGUUAGUUGAAGAUUUAUUCUUGAACUUUUUAUUUUCACAAUUCCUUAUUAUCUAAUAACUAUACAGAAAUGUUAAUAGUCUUAUGACUAAACAGGUCAAUAUUCAUAUGAAUAUAUAUUUUUACUUGUUUAAUCUCAAUGAAAUAGCCUAGUAGAAAUUUAACACAUUUAAAACAUUCAAAUAAAAGCUUUUUUUACCCAAUCACAACAACAGCAACAACAAAAACAACAACAAAAACUCUAAUGCUCUUUUUUUGCACUGAAAAAAUCACCAACAUUAGAGUAACUUACAAUGAUAAAUCUCAAAAGACUUAUAUUCUUUAACUCAAGUUGAGACCAUUUGCUUAUUAUACAGGUUCACUGACCCAAAUCUUCUUCAUUCUACAUUAGAGAACUUGACCUGAGAUUUUCUUCUCCCUUCUCCCAGAUAUCACAUAAUGUUAUUUUUGCAUUUUCUGUUGCUGUAAAUAUUUAAUUAGCUACACAAAGUGAAACUAUUCCAAGAAGGAUGACAAAUUCACACUUAAAGUCAUUUGCAAUUGAAAGCUUUUGUAUGCACUGUAAAAUAAAGAUUCUGAACCCAUUUUUUCUUUUAUUUGAAGAAAGAUCUUUGACUUAUGAUUUCUUAACUAUUAAGAGGAAAUCUGUGCUUUGUCUAGCCUCUGCUCUGUUUUCUAGAAAAAUCAGAAAAGUCCUAUUUGUGUCUAGUGUUUAUGGACAUUACCUGCCCAUUUCUUGCUCCUGGCUGAGUUCCAUACAGCCACUAGAAAUCUGAUUUAGCAGGCAAUAUAAGCAUGCUGAAUCACACUAAGCAGUUCAAAAUAAUGUGAUUAAUCUGUUUGUUUCAUUUACCGCAUUCAGAUUUAUGUAGAAACUGGUGAGAGAAGCCCAGGAUCUUAUCAUCUAACAAUUAAACUAAUCUUGCAGUAUAUUUUAUAAUGUGACUCUAGGAUAAACCCCUACCAAAAUUGGCUUU
ensembl:lncRNA